AACGAACGCUGGCGGCGUGCCUAACACAUGCAAGUCGAGGGAGGAAGCCGCAAGGUGAGUAAACCGGCGAACGGGUGCGUAACACGUGGAUAAUCUACCUUCCUGACCGGGACAACUGGCCGAAAGGCUUGCUAAUACUGGAUAAGACCACGGGGACUUCGGGCCCUGAGGGAAAAGGUGGCCUCUGUAUACAAGCUAUCACAGGGAGAUGAGUCCGCGGCCCAUCAGCUAGUUGGCGGGGAAAAGCCCACCAAGGCUACGACGGGUAGCUGGUCUGAGAGGAUGAUCAGCCACACUGGAACUGAGACACGGUCCAGACUCCUACGGGAGGCAGCAGUGGGGAAUCUUGCGCAAUGGGCGAAAGCCUGACGCAGCAACGCCGCGUGUGUGAUGAAGGUCUUCGGAUCGUAAAGCACUGUCGCGAGGGAAGAUACGCUUACAGCUAAUAUCUGUGAGCUAAGACGGUACCUCGAGAGGAAGCACCGGCUAACUCU
rnacentral:rRNA from 1 species